CCCAGUCCGGAUGCAUAUACCCACCCGUAUGCAUAUCGCCAGCGGUGCCGGGAAGCGGAAGGGAACAUAGUGUUACUUUUCCACCAUAAUGAAGCGCUUUUUCCAAACGAUGGAGAAGGAUGGUUCCUUCAAGAAGCCGUCCCUUUCUCCUUCUCCAGCAUCAGCAUCAGAAGAAGGUAAGAAGGGAGAGGAAGAGAGGAAAGAGCCGUUGAAGUUCUUGACAUGGAACGCCAACAGCUUUCUCCUCCGCGUAAAGAACAACUGGCCCGACUUCUCCAAAUUCGUUGAGACCCUCGAUCCCGACGUCAUCGCAAUACAGGAAGUACGGAUGCCUGCAGCUGGGUCCAAAGGCACGCCAAAAAACCCAGGAGAGUUGAAAGAUGAUACAAGCUCAUCACGUGAGGAAAAGCAGGACCUCAAGACAGGCAAGACGAUUGGUGGAGGUCGUGAGAGAAAUGGCUUGUACUACUUGGAGAGAGAGUCAGUAGAUUCUAAGUAUGGGGGGACUGCUUUGUUUGUGAAGAAACACCUCCAACUGAAAAAGGUCUCCUUCUGUCUUGAUCGAGAAGCUUUGAAGCAUGAGCCAGAUGGCCGGGUAAUUUUGGCUGAAUUUGAGACAAUCCGUUUGCUAAAUACAUAUGUACCAAACAAUGGUUGGAAAGAGGAUGAGACUUCAUUUAAAAGACGAAGAAAAUGGGAUAAAAGAAUAUUGGAAUUCGUUCUGCAAUCUUCAGAUAAGCCUUUGAUUUGGUGCGGGGACCUGAAUGUUAGUCACCAAGACAUUGAUGUGAGUCACCCAGACUUUUUCCGGAAUGCCAAGUUAAAUGGUUACAUUCCUCCAAACAAAGAGGAUUGUGGGCAGCCUGGAUUUACCUUGGCUGAGCGGAUGCGCUUCAGUUCAAUAUUAUCCGAGGGAAAGCUGAUAGAUGCUUACAGAUUUCUUCAUAAAGAACAAGAUAUGGAACAUGGCUUCUCUUGGUCUGGAAAUCCUGUUGGGAAGUACCGAGGCAAGAGAAUGAGAAUAGACUAUUUCAUAGUUUCCGAGCAACUCAAGGAUCGGAUCAUUGCUUGUGAUAUGCAUGGGCAAGGGAUUGAGUUACAAGGAUUUUAUGGAAGUGACCACUGCCCAGUUUCCUUUGUGCUUUCACCAACCACAUCAGAAUCCAACUCAUGCUAGCUCACUCUCACAAUUUGGCUGGCGUGUUUCUUGGUUGUCCCUCUUGUAUUUUCUUAUUGAUAAUUUCCAGACAGUUUCUUGUUUCAGAAGCAUUGCAUUUUGGAUGGAUACAUCAGUAUGUGGAUGCUAAAAUUUUCUGGGGGAGCCUUUUGAGGUGAUCCUGGCCACUGAUUGCAGGAUUCUUGAGGAUCACAAAUAUGCAAUUAGGAAAAUAAAUGUCCAACCACCAGAUGAUGAAUGGUGUUCAGUGGAAAAGGUCCUCUAAUUGAUUGGA